rnacentral:rRNA from 1 species
GCCAUGCAAGUCUCAGUACAUGCCUAACUAAGGUGAAACCGCAAAAGGCUCAUUAAAUCAGUUAUGGUUCCUUGGAUCUUAAACAGUUACUUGGAUAACUGUGGUAAUUCUAGAGCUAAUACAUGCAAACAAGUCCCGACCAGAGAUGGGAGGGACGCUUUUAUUAGAUCAAAACCGAUCGGCGUCCGGUUUCGGCCGGCGCCGUCUCUUUUGGUGACUCUGGAUAACUUUUAGCCGAUCGCACGGUCACAGUACCGGCGACGCAUCUUUCAAAUGUCUGACUUAUCAACUGUCGAUGGUAGGCUCUGCGCCUACCAUGGUUGUAACGGGUAACGGGGAAUCAGGGUUCGAUUCCGGAGAGGGAGCCUGAGAAACGGCUACCACAUCCAAGGAAGGCAGCAGGCGCGCAAAUUACCCACUCCCGGCACGGGGAGGUAGUGACGAAAAAUAACGAUACGGGACUCAUCCGAGGCCCCGUAAUCGGAAUGAGUACACUUUAAAUACUUUAACGAGUACCAAUUGGAGGGCAAGUCUGGUGCCAGCAGCCGCGGUAAUUCCAGCUCCAAUAGCGUAUAUUAAAGUUGUUGCGGUUAAAAAGCUCGUAGUUGGAUCUGUGUGCCACGCUGUCGGUUCACCGCCUGUCGGUGUCAACUGGCAUGUCUGUGGGACGUCCUGCCGGUGGCGGUACGGGCUGCCGGCGCUGCGUAGGGGCUCGCCCCCGAAGCACGCCGGCGUGUCCCGGUCCGCCGAUCCAAUCCCGCCGCGGUGCUCUUCACUGAGUGUCGAGGUGGGCCGGCACGUUUACUUUGAACAAAUUAGAGUGCUCAAAUCAGGUCGUAUUUAGGCCUGAAUACUG